rnacentral:tRNA from 1 species
AAGGCUUUAGCUUAAUUAAAGUAUCUGUUUUGCAUACAGGAGAUGUGGGUUAGUAUCCUGCAAGUCUUA